rnacentral:tRNA from 1 species
AUCAGGAUGGCUGAGCGGUCUAAGGCGCCAGACUCAAGGCUGGGAAACCUUCCAUACAAAUGGGGCCUCUGGUCUCUGAAUGGAGGCGUGGGUUCAAAUCCCACUU